CACCUGCCUCAGGCUCAGCCUCCCAGCUUCUCUGGCCAAACUGUCCUCACACAACCCCGGAGUGCCCCGUUCCCAGGAUCCCGGAGAGGGAGCAGAGAUCAAUGGAUUCCAGGUGGCUAAGAGGCACGGAGCGCAACUGUGCCAGACGCGCACCAUCUCCGCAAGGAUCAUAUGGCUUAGUGCCGAUCAGCUUCCUGCAAGGAGCAUCCUUUCGGGACAGGGCUUCAGGACACUGCCAGGCCUACUCACGCAGAUCCUUUGAAAGACACACUACCGGAUGGUCUUCCUUCUCGAGACACCCUGCCCCAAAGACAG